rnacentral:ncRNA from 2 species
UACGGAAUGUGCAAACGUUAUUCGGAAUCACUGGGCUUAAAGAGUCCGUAGGCGGCUUGUUAGGUGAGGUGUGAAAUCCCCCGGCCCAACCGAGGAAUUGCGCUUCAAACCGGCAAGCUAGAGGAGGAUAGAGGUGGGCGGAACUGAUGGUGGAGCGGUGAAAUGCGUUGAUAUCAUCAGGAACACCGGAGGCGAAGGCGGUCCACUGGGUCCUAUCUGACGCUGAGGGACGAAAGCUAGGGGAGCGAACGGG